UACGUAGGGUGCAAGCGUUGUCCGGAAUUAUUGGGCGUAAAGAGCUCGUAGGCGGUUUGUUGCGUCGGCUGUGAAAUCCCGAGGCUCAACCUCGGGUCUGCAGUCGAUACGAGCAAACUAUAGUGUUGCAGGGGAGACUGGAAUUCCUGGUGUAGCGGUGAAAUGCGCAGAUAUCAGGAGGAACACCGGUGGCGAAGGCGGGUCUCUGGGCAACAACUGACGCUGAGGAGCGAAAGCGUGGGGAGCGAACAGG
rnacentral:rRNA from 1 species